rnacentral:lncRNA from 1 species
CAAAGACCCCCGAGUGGGUUGAAACGACGGAUGCAGGGCACUGGGCCCAGGAGAGAGGGGUCAGCCUUUGCUUCCAUAAUAUUGAAAUCACCCACUUGCGUGUCCGUCUUUUCCUCGGGCUGUGACCUCCUUCAAUGGUCUGUGUCCCACUCGUCUUUCAGUCCCUCCUCCCCAUCGUCUAGCAGGGCGCCUGGCUCCCUAUAAGUUUAGCUCAAUAAAUGUUAAGUUGAACGGCGGCAGAUCUUUGCAUCGGUCCAAUCCCGAGCUUCUGUACAGAAAGCAAGAUAAACACGUUCCACUCAGGGGGCCGGCGUUCUCUUGUUCCUUUGGAGGGGCUAUGGGGGAUUCAGGGGGUACUUUAAUACUCCCGAGUGGAGGGAGCUGUCAGACAGCCGGCCCUCUGCAAGGGACAGUCGAAGGAGUUGGGAAGGUGCGUGCGCCCCUCUCACCAGGCCCGCGGAUGCUGGGUGGUACCCAAGGAGGCGCUCGGAUGGGUCACUACGGAUGGAGCUAAGCCAGGGAUCUUCUGCACGAACUUCUCCCAUCUCAGAGCAUCCUCGUCCUUCUAUGUCACUGAACUGGCCGUCUCCAUCUGGCAACUGGGAAGAGUCUGCCUCCAGGGCGCCGGGGGUGGGGAGGAGGGCAGAGCGCAGGAUUGCGGAAUGCGCGGCGCACACGCGAGCGGGCAUCACCGCGGGCUUCGCGCCGGCUCGCUUAGGCUCCGGCGCGGGCGCAGCCAGGACCCCGGCCCGGUGCGGAGCGCGCCCUCCCCCACGCCAUCUGGGCCUCCGGCGGCCCAGGCCCGUCCCGCCUCCCCGAGGCCUUCCGCGGCUCGGUGUCCCACGCUGCCCCGGCGGCGGGCGGACGGCAGCGCGGGCCGCCGGUGAGCCGGGGCGAGCGGGGGCCGAGGACGCACGCGGCCGGACGGGCGGCGCGCGCUCCCCUCCCCCGCCCCGGCCGGCAGCGCGAGCCGCCGUUGACGUCACGGGCGCCCGCCUGCCCUGCGCUCCACUGGGCAGAGCGUGCGCGGCCGGCCGCCGAGCACAUGGGCCCGCGGGCCGGCGGGCUCGGGGCGGCCUGGCCCGGGAGGAGCGGCGAGGGGGCGCCAGCAAGGAUGGGCCGCGGCACCCCCGGCCCCCGGCGAGUGGAUUUCCACGCGGGAAGGAGGUUGGCGGCGCCGGUGACCUUCGGAGACACGGCUGGAUCCACCUUCCAGACCUGGAGACACAAAGAUGGAGAGACCCAGUCUGUGGGGAUGCAGAGGUGAAAGAAGCAGAAUAUAAAGGCAGUGAUGAUUAGAGCGCCAUUAAUUUGGAAGGUGGAAACAUUGGUGAACACACUUUGCUGCUUGGGAAGUGGGAGCAGCUGCUCAGGACUGCAUGAAGUUUAUGCCCUGAGGUUUGCAUGAUUGAGUGGGAGAAUCCUGGCCUGAGCCUGAGGACCAUUUGCCGUCAGCCUCGCCUAUGAGAACUCUGGAAGGCCCCUCAGCUUCUGUCGUUCUGCUUUCUUGUUGGUUAAGGGUGGAUCUUGACACCUACUUCAGGGAUGCUGGAGGUGAAACGAGCUACUAUAAAUCUGACUGCUCAGCAGGGUAGCUUCCUAGUUUGGACUCCUCAAAGUCGGAAGGGACCCAUCCAAGCUCGUCAUUUGAUGGAUGACAAAGUCAGGCUCCAGAUGGUGAGUAGUUCUUUGGGAAUUUUCUCACUAUUUCCAUUUGUGUGCCAAAGGAAGAACACACACAUACACACACACAUGCUUGUAUGCACAGAUUAGAUCUGGAAGGAUACACCAAAAAAAAAAAAUGAUAAUAGCGACUGCUACGGAGGAGGCUAACUGGGGGCCUUGGGGGGGAAGAGGGAAGCUUACUGGUGUCUCUGUGACUCUUCAUUCUGUUGGAAAUUUUACUGUGUGCACGUAUUCGUUCUUCAAUUAAUAAGAAACAAGUUCUUAAAAAUCCACCAAGUAGUAAAACAUCUUUGAAUGCAUUCUGCUUCCUAAUGCAUCAAUAAGGAGCCCUGGGAGCACUCAGAACUCUGUUUGUUUUAUAAUUGCCCAUCUGAACCCAAGUCCCCCGAAUCCCAGGCCAGAGGGCUUUCUUCCACUCACACAGACCGUCUCCCAUCCCUUUGCUGGCCUUCCUUUUUUCCUUUCUGCCUUCUGGAAUCUGCCAACUGAAGUCCUAGACACCCAGCCCCUGGUCCCCAGGCAGCUGACCACCCUCUGGUCCACUCUCUGAAAUUGCCUGUAUGGGGGAGCCCUGGGCCUGACUGAGCAGGCCUGAGGCUGGAGGCCCUGGCCUCUCCUCCCCAGCCCCCUUCCUGGCCCGGCGCCUCCAGUGCAGAAGGAAGAGUCUGUGCAGCCUGUUCUCUCUCCUCCUUUGAACCAGGGCCCGUUCCAAGAAUCGCAGCGCUGUUUUGCCUGCACGGCAGGGUUGCGUGGCCCUCCCAGGCCUCAUGCGCCGAGUUGGCAGCUCCCUGGAAAAAUUUCUUCUCCCCUUUCUUUCUGGCACGGAGGGUGGAUUCCCUGCCCCGCCCUGGACAGUGCAUCUCAGGGGUCAUUUGAGUUGAAUCCUGAUGGAGCAUCUUGCUCUGCGGCCCCAGCGGGGCAGGAAGCCUGAAACUCUGAUCUUCCUCCCUCCCAAAAGCCUUGGAUCUGCAUCCUGGCCCAGAGCCCCCUCCCCUCCUUCCACUCAGCCCCCUCCCCUCCUUCCUCCCCAGCCCCCUUCUCUCCUCCCCCCCAACUCCCCUUCCCCAUUGCCACAGCUGAGGAGCCAGGCUGUUAUCGCCCAGUGACCACUCUUUGAAGGCUGUGGAGUUCCAUGGUGAGCAGUUUUUUUCUACCCAGGGACCAAUUCAGGAAACAUAAAAGCAUUUAUAGGCCACUUUUGUUUAUCCAUUCAAAAUGAAAAUGGCCAUAUUGAUGCCAUGGCCCGGGGUGGGCAGGAGAGCGUUGUGUCUCCUCACAGCUUGGAUUGUCCACUUUAUGAGAAAGAAGGCCCUUAUUAAGAAGUGCCAGUGCUGUCUGCCAUUCACACCUGGGCACAUUUCAGCAAAGCAGAGCCAACUGCCUCCUCUUUUCAUUCUCAAAGCAGACUUCAGGCCAAAUGAUCUUACUAUUUAUCUAGUUCUUUGUGGUACAGAUGAGGGAAACUGAGGCCCAGAGUGGACAUAACAUUCCCGAGGGAGAGACUUUGUAAGGUUCUGGGUAGUAAGACUUAUUAUUAUUGAUAACAACAACGACAAUAAUAAUAAGAAGCAGUAAUAGCAGUCACAAAGCAUGGGGCUUUUACUUUUCAGAUGGGACAGUGAAGGCUGGUGGCUUCUCUCUCUUCUGCCAGCAGCACAAGCCCUGUGGUGUUUAUAUUUCUCCUUGGCCAGGGAUGUAUUUUGAAAUUUAAAUGAUAAAGCAAACAAACUCUGUUUUCACUGAAGCUUUAGAAAACCUGCGUGAAACCUCUCCACCGUGGUUGGUGGUUUUGGAGCCAAGAUUGGCCAAAUUUCCCUUUCAACGUGGGGAGAGGGGGGCAUUAAGGACAGUCCAUCCACAGAGCGUGAAUGACGGCAUUCAUCUUGAUUGAGCUCAGCGAAUGAGCGCGAGGAUGAUGCGUGCCCCGCCAAACUCACCCUUUUAUGUAUGUGCUGGUGGCCAAUUUGUCUUUGCUCAAAAUGGAAAGCUGACAAGAUGGGCUAUUUUUCCUGUUAAAAAUAAUCACAUGCCAGAUGCUGUUCCAAGUUCUGCACCUCAACCAGUUAAAGAUUUUUGGAUGUUUUGCCCAGUGCCUGUUCAGAAGGUAAGCUUGUUAGCAUCUGAGCCAAGUGUAAUAAUAAUAUUUCAGGUGAGGGACUGCAAAGGACUCUGUAAUGAGCAAAAAGUAAUUAUUGCAUAUUGCAUGUAAUGAACCCUUUUAAAUGUGUGUAUAUAUAUGAUGGGGUGGUCCCAGCAACAAAAAUUUAUGUUACAACUGCAGAAUGAAACCUCCGUCUGCCUUUAAGUUUGUUCCCAGAAGCGGUUGGUAGCCAAGUCCUUUCUCCCUGGUAACCGAAGCUUCCCAGAAACCCUUUCUGACAGAAGAGCUGCCAGAGGGCUUUUAAGCAAGACUUUCAGGUAUAGCUUUGCAGGCCUCCUUUCUUCACAUCCGUUCUGUAAAAAGAGGGCGACUGCUCAGCCCCGUGUAAAGAACCCGUUUUCUGGAGUCGGGCUGUGUUUGCAUCUCAGCUCUGCCACUCACUAGCUGUGUAACCUUGGGCCAGGGUCCUCCGUUCCCC